rnacentral:rRNA from 1 species
GUAGAUAUUAGAAAGAAUACCAAUUGCGAAGGCAGCUUUCUGGAUCAUUACUGACACUGAGGAACGAAAGCAUGGGUAGCGAAGAGGAUUAGAUACCCUCGUAGUCCAUGCCGUAAACGAUGUGUGUUAGACGUUGGAAAUUUAUUUUCAGUGUCGCAGCGAAAGCGAUAAACACACCGCCUGGGGAGUACGGCCGCAAGGUUAAAACUCAAAUGAAUUGACGGGGACCCGCACAAGUAGUGGAGCAUGUGGUUUAAUUCGAAGAUACGCGCAGAACCUUACCAACACUUGACAUGUUCGUCGCGACUCUAAGAGAUUAGAGUUUUCGGUUCGGCCGGACGAAACACAGGUGCUGCAUGGCUGUCGUCAGCUCGUGUCGUGAGAUGUUGGGUUAAGUCCCGCAACGAGCGCAACCCUCACUUUUAGUUGCCAUCAUUAAGUUGGGUACUCUGAAAGAACUGCCAGUGAUAAGCUGGAGGAAGGUGGGGAUGACGUCAAGUCCUCAUGGCCCUUACGUGUUGGGCUACACACGUGCUACAAUGGUAUCUACAACAGGAAGCAAGACUGCGAAGUUAAGCAAAUCCCUAAAAGAUACCUCAGUUCGGAUUGCACUCUGCAACUCGAGUGCAUGAAGCUGGAAUUACUAGUAAUCGUGGAUCAGCGUGCCACGGUGAAUGCGUUCCCGGGUCUUGUACACACCGCCCGUCACACCAUGGGAGUUGGUUCUACCUUAAGGCAAGGUUUCAAACCCUUGACCACGGUAUAGUCAGCGACUGGGGUGAAGUCGUAACAAGGUAAA